UACGUAGGGUGCAAGCGUUGUCCGGAAUUAUUGGGCGUAAAGAGCUCGUAGGCGGUCUGUCGCGUCUGCUGUGAAAACUCAGGGCUUAACCCUGAGCUUGCAGUGGGUACGGGCAGACUAGAGUGCGGUAGGGGAGACUGGAAUUCCUGGUGUAGCGAUGAAAUGUGCAGAUAUCAGGAGGAACACCGGUGGCGAAGGCGGGUCUCUGGGCCGUAACUGACGCUGAGGAGCGAAAGCAUGGGGAGCGAACAGG
rnacentral:rRNA from 1 species